AACGAACGCUGGCGGCGCGCCUAACACAUGCAAGUCGGACGCUCCCUUCGGGGGGAGUGGCGGACGGGUGAGUAACGCGUGGGAACCUGCCCUGGGGUUCGGGACAACCGCGGGAAACUGCGGCUAAUACCGGAUGUCCCCUAUGGGGGAAAGAUUUAUCGCCCUGGGAUGGGCCCGCGUCGGAUUAGCUUGUUGGUGGGGUAACGGCUCACCAAGGCAUCGAUCCGUAGCUGGUCUGAGAGGAUGAUCAGCCACACUGGGACUGAGACACGGCCCAGACUCCUACGGGAGGCAGCAGUGGGGAAUCUUGGACAAUGGGCGCAAGCCUGAUCCAGCGACGCCGCGUGGGUGAUGAAGGCCUUCGGGUUGUAAAGCCCUUUUCUCGGUGACGAUGAUGACGGUAGCCGAGGAAUAAGGACCGGCUAACUCCGUGCCAGCCGCCGCAGUAAAAC
rnacentral:rRNA from 1 species